ACUUGGAAGAAGGGCUGUAACCUUUAGCUUCCCCCAGUUUAGCCCGUUGGCCUUGUCUAGGCUGGUCUGUUUCUGACUCUUCUUUUCCUCAUCUAAUAUAGACCUACUUUUCUUUUAUUGGAAGUAGGAAGAGGAAAAAUAGACAAAGGAAGAGAAAAAUACUAGAUUAAGGCUCAGAUAUUGUAGGCAUGAGACCUGGAAACUGGAGACUCCUUUUGGGACAGAGUUGUAGCAGCAAGCCCAACUAUAGAAGAAGGGAACUGGGGCCUGUUGGUGGCAUGGUGACCAGAGAUUUUGGUGUUGUUUUGGUGCAACAACAGACCAGCAUUUCUUCCUGAUGAGAGACAAUUGACCAUGGAGUGGUUCUGGCCAGUCUAUGGAGAAUGUGCAGCAAAGGUUUUCCUGUCAUCUGCUUCAUCUUUUGAUGUCAGAGGGCCUAAAACUCCACCCUGGGAUUAUGCUAACACUGCCAUUUUUUGUACACAGGACCCAUGAAGAGGCAUGAAGCUCAAUUGCACAUGUGCAUGUUUUUCCUUUUGUAAAUAUUAAUGACUCCUCCUAUAAUCUGUUGAAUAUGUACACUUAACCACUCAACUUACCAUACGUUUCUGUUCCCUUUUCCCCUCCCUUGAAGUAUCUGUUUUUGGCUUCUGACCAGAGACUACACUUCCCAGCCUCUGGGAAUGGCCACCCUGCAGGCUGAAACUCUUCAUGAGAAAUAAAGCUCUUCUUUCUAAA
rnacentral:lncRNA from 10 species